rnacentral:rRNA from 1 species
AGCAGCCGCGGUAAUUCCAGCUCCAAUAGCGUAUAUUAAAGUUGUUGCAGUUAAAAAGCUCGUAGUUGAAUUUCGGGAUUGACGUAAUGGUCACGCCUUAACGGGUAUGAACUAUUACUGUUGAUUUCUCACCUUCUGGAAAAACUUGAUGUCCUUAAUUGGAUGUCUUGCGGAUCCAGGACCUUUACCUUGAAAAAAUUAGAGUGUUUAAAGCAGGCAUUUUGCUCGAAUACAUUAGCAUGGAAUAAUAGAAUAGGACGGCAUGGUUCUAUUUUGUUGGUUUUCUAGGAUCACCGUAAUGAUUAAUAGGGAUAGUUGGGGGCAUUAGUAUUCAAUUGUCAGAGGUGAAAUUCUUGGAUUUAUUGAAGACUAACUACUGCGAAAGCAUUUGCCAAGGAUGUUUUCAUUAAUCAAGAACGAAAGUUAGGGGAUCGAAGACGAUCAGAUACCGUCGUAGUCUUAACCAUAAACUAUGCCGACUAGGAAUCAGACGAUGUUAAUUUUUAAUGUACUCGUUUGG